GAAAGACGGCAGAAACAAAAAAGAAAAGAAUUGAUAGAUGCAGCAAAAGGUAGUGGAUUGUUGACCGACUGGGUCAGAACGAGUACUGCAGAUGGACAGAAGGAAAGUGAUAGAUCAGAGGAGGAGACAAAAAUGCAGUCAACAACACAGGAAGACAGGCAAGGAGAGGGACAACAGUCAGAAAUAAACACUAUGGAUGAAAAUGCAGAGCAACAAGUCAGAGAGAAGCCAUUCAUAUUUUUAAUGGACCUUCCACACCCAAAUGACCCAGCACAUGUCUUGCAGUUCAACAUAAAAUAUGAUGAAGCAUUUAUCCAAAAUUGUGUAAACCAAGGACCAUGCCAACCAGAGCUGUCAUUUCCUAAAAAUGAAGAAGGAAGGUCUUUUCAGAAUAAAUGGUAUAAGAGUAA